AACGAACGCUGGCGGCAGGCUUAACACAUGCAAGUCGAGCGCCCCGCAAGGGGAGCGGCCGACGGGUGAGUAACGCGUGGGAACGUACCUUUUGGUUCGGAACAACUCCGGGAAACUGGAGCUAAUACCGGAUAAGCCCUAACGGGGAAAGAUUUAUCGCCGAAAGAUCGGCCCGCGUCUGAUUAGCUAGUUGGUGAGGUAACGGCUCACCAAGGCGACGAUCAGUAGCUGGUCUGAGAGGAUGAUCAGCCACACUGGGACUGAGACACGGCCCAGACUCCUACGGGAGGCAGCAGUGGGGAAUAUUGGACAAUGGGCGCAAGCCUGAUCCAGCCAUGCCGCGUGAGUGAUGAAGGCCUUAGGGUUGUAAAGCUCUUUUGUCCGGGAAGAUAAUGACUGUACCGGAAGAAUAAGCCCCGGCUAACUCCGUG
rnacentral:rRNA from 1 species